UCACGGGCCCAAUGUUCAAUCUAGCUUAAAAUUCCCCUUCUGAGAGCAUCUACAGCCGGGCGCCCUCCCCCGCCUCAAACGCCCGGGCGAAUGGCCCGGUCACAAAAAUCCCACCUAGAUGGGCUGCUUAAACGGGCCUCAAACGCUCGGCCUGACCAGCACCCCUCAUAUCCAACCCAAAUAUGGGACGGGUAUGGGGGCGCCCACCACGUCGAACCCGACAACCCUACCUCACCAAAAAUUGCACAAAAUGCACUAAAUUCUUCCUCCUCCUGCCGCCGCCUCCUACAUUUCCCACGCCUGAGCCCUCGCCGUCCGCCACCCUUGCUUCCCAUCCUCACCACCAGUCCCGAUCUGCCGUCCUAGAUGUCGUUCAACCCAUCCCCGACCGCCACGACGGAGACUGCGUCUACCUCGUCCAUCGGCGUCCCUUCCGAGGAUCCGACGGCUGGUUGGGCCAUUUUGGAGAGCCUUCCGCCCAUGCAAAUGUCGGUGGUGGACAUAUGUCACUCACCGCAACUCGUUCGGGGCGCGGAUGAGCACGGGCACCGACGGCGCCAGGGCUGCCCAUGACCUGUUCGACAGAAUGGCACAAUAAGAAUAGGAGGCGUUCAUGUCGAGCAUGAUCAAUGACAAUGAAGGUUUGACCCAAAUGGAGUACAAAUUUGGGGGCACGCAUUUGAAGUAUUCCCCUGUCUUCAUCGUAUGUCCUCAAAAUUUGAACAUGAUCAUGAUCAUCUAGAAGAUAGGGGAAUACGAUGAAGGCAAAUUGGAUCAACAUAUGUCCUCAAAAUUCCCAAUCCGAGCAAGAAGAAAAAGACAGGGGAAUACGAUGAAGGCAAAAGGUCCACAUUCUCAACUUUUGAGGACAUCUUGUUGGUCAAAAAUUGGUUGGCCACAACAAUUGAUCCAAUUUGCGGCAUCGAAAAGGGGAACAAGUAUUGGAGGCGAUUUGAAAGAAGUAUCACAGACAAAAGGGAUAUGUGGAGCCGCAUCAUAUCAUGACCAACCACAAUGUGGCAUCUCUCUGACAUUGAUGGGGGAUUAUUCAAGGGGAAGUGAACAAGUACGUCAUCUACUACUCACAAGUGACCAAACACCCUCAAAGUGGAAUGGGAGUGGCAACUCACAUGGCGAUGGCGGCCACUUUGUAUCACGAGACGGGGAAGAAGCUGUAUGCUUUUAGACACUGUUGGAUCAUAUUAAAUGGAGUGCCAAAGUGGACACAACAUGUGGCCCAUCUCAAGGCCGACAAGAAGAGGAAUGGUGGCUCGAGCUCCCACCAAUCAACUGGGUUGGACGAUGAAGAGAACGACAUUGUUGUCGAGAAUGGAAGAGCCGCCGUGUCAAAGGAUAACCAAUAAGUCAUGGAAAAACAAGUAGGAGAAGGCAAGGGCCUCCCAUGACGCCGCAAAAUUGUCUUCCACAUGGACGGGCAUUUUUUCGGCAAGGGAGAACAAGAAAGUGGAGAGGUACAAACUCAUGUUGGAUGUGCAAAAGAACAUGAUGGAUGAGACUGGAAGAGGGCGAAGGAGAAACUGGAAAUUGAGAGGGAGAAGAUUGAGUUGGAUAAGCAAGGGGCGGCUAUCAAAUGGGAACUCGAGAAGGCCAAGACAUUUGGAGAAUGAACUUGAGAAGGAGCGGUUACAACUCGCACGGGUUGCAGAGGAUCCAAAGAUCAUGUUGGCCGACGAAACCCUCUUGAAUGAGCAUGCAAAGAAGUGGCUUGUGAAUAAAAAGAAGGGGAUCAACGAGCGUAGUGAGUACGAGGCGGUGAGGACAGCUGCGACGGAGCAGGAUGCAAACAUGGCCUCAUGGCCUCGGAGCAGGUGGCAUGGAUGGCGAGCGGCUAGUGAUCCGGCAAGCAAGCGAGAGGCAUCCGUACGCUCGGACAUGGAUUUCAUUUUGGCAUGUCUGGUUCUGUUGAACUAUAAUUUCCUUUGCUUUGUUUUGAACUGUUGAAUUCGAACAAUUUGUAUUAUAUGAUCGACGUGCAUGGAUUGUAUGAAUUUGAGAAUCCG